GAUCAGCCCGCGUAAGAUUAGAUAGUUGGUGGGGUAAUGGCCUACCAAGUCUACGAUCUUUAGCUGGUUUUAGAGGAUGAUCAGCAACACUGGGACUGAGACACGGCCCAGACUCCUACGGGAGGCAGCAGUGGGGAAUAUUGCACAAUGGGGGAAACCCUGAUGCAGCCAUGCCGCGUGUGUGAAGAAGGCCUUCGGGUUGUAAAGCACUUUCAGUUGUGAGGAAAAGUGAGUAGUUAAUACCUGCUCACCGUGACGUUAACAACAGAAGAAGCACCGGCUAACUCCGUGCCAGCAGCCGCGGUAAUACGGAGGGUGCGAGCGUUAAUCGGAAUUACUGGGCGUAAAGCGCACGCAGGCGGUUUGUUAAGCUAGAUGUGAAAGCCCCGAGCUCAACUUGGGAUGGUCAUUUAGAACUGGCAGACUAGAGUCUUGGAGAGGGGAGUGGAAUUCCAGGUGUAGCGGUGAAAUGCGUAGAUAUCUGGAGGAACAUCAGUGGCGAAGGCGACUCCCUGGCCAAAGACUGACGCUCAUGUGCGAAAGUGUGGGUAGCGAACAGGAUUAGAUACCCUGGUAGUCCACACCGUAAACGCUGUCUACUAGCUGUUUGUGGCUUUAAGCCGUGAGUAGCGAAGCUAACGCGAUAAGUAGACCGCCUGGGGAGUACGGCCGCAAGGUUAAAACUCAAAUGAAUUGACGGGGGCCCGCACAAGCGGUGGAGCAUGUGGUUUAAUUCGAUGCAACGCGAAGAACCUUACCUACACUUGACAUGCAGAGAACUUUCUAGAGAUAGAUUGGUGCCUUCGGGAACUCUGACACAGGUGCUGCAUGGCCGUCGUCAGCUCGUGUCGUG
rnacentral:rRNA from 1 species